CGACCAUAGAGCGUUGGAACCACCUGAUCCCAUCCCGAACUCAGCAGUGAAACGAUGCAUCGCCGAUGGUAGUGUGGGGUUUCCCCAUGUGAGAGUAGGUCAUCGUC
rnacentral:rRNA from 1 species